UACGUAGGAGGCAAGCGUUGUCCGGAAUCAUUGGGCGUAAAGCGCGUGUAGGCGGCUCGGUAAGUCCGCUCUGAAAGUCCAGGGCUCAACCCUGGGAUGCGGGUGGAUACUGCCGGGCUCGAGUCCGGAAGAGGCGAGUGGAAUUCCCGGUGUAGCGGUGAAAUGCGCAGAUAUCGGGAGGAACACCAAUGGCGAAGGCAGCUCGCUGGGACGUGACUGACGCUGAGACGCGAAAGCGUGGGGAGCAAACAGG
rnacentral:rRNA from 1 species